UACGGAGGGUGCAAGCGUUGCUCGGAAUUAUUGGGCGUAAGGGGUAGGUAGGUGGUCUUAUUUGUCUGGGGUGAAAGCCUUGAGCUUAACUCAAGAAGUGCCCCAGAAACGGUAAGACUAGAGUCUUGGAGAGGGUCGUGGAAUUCCCGGUGUAGCGGUGAAAUGCGUAGAGAUCGGGAGGAACACCAGAGGCGAAGGCAGUGUCCUGGGGAGUACCUGACGCUCAGGUGCGAAAGCCAGGGGAGCGAACGGG
rnacentral:rRNA from 1 species